GACCGCGUAGCUCAGUUGGCAGAGCAUUGGGCUAGUAUUCCGUAGGUUCGCUUCCCACCAUGGCCAGGCAUAUUUUUCUAGGUUGCCCGGUGUGGAUAUACACUCAGCGCAACAUCACAAGUAUCAUAUUCACCUGAGUACAUUACACCAACACAAAAAAAGUCAUCCAGAAUAUAUGUUUUUCAUAAUUUUUUCUGUGUUGGUACCUACAUUGGGCUAGUAUUCCAAAGGUUGUAGGUUUAGUUUGAUUCCCACCGUGGCCA